rnacentral:rRNA from 1 species
GCGAGUCAUUGUAGCAAUACAAGGCAGACGGCUCAGUAACGCGUAGUCAAUCUACCCUAAGAGACGGGAAUAACCUCGGGAAACUGAGAAUAAUGCCCGACAGAACAUUAUACCUGGAACGGUUUAUGUUUCAAAUGAUUUAUCGCCGUAGGAUGGGACUGCGGCCUAUCAGUUUGUUGGUGAGGUAAUGGCCCACCAAGACUAUUACAGGUACGGGCUCUGAGAGGAGUAGCCCGGAGAUGGGUACUGAGACACGGACCCAGGCCCUAUGGGGCGCAGCAGGCGAGAAAACUUUGCAAUGUGCGAAAGCACGACAAGGUUAAUCCGAGUGGUUUCUGCUAAAGAAACCUUUUGCUAGUCCUAGAAACACUAGUGAAUAAGGGGUGGGCAAGUUCUGGUGUCAGCCGCCGCGGUAAAACCAGCACCUCAAGUGGUCAGGAUGAUUAUUGGGCCUAAAGCAUCCGUAGCUCGUUUUGUAAGUUUUCGGUUAAAUCCAUACGCUUAACGUAUGGGCUGCCGGGAAUACUGCAUAACUAGGAAGUGGGAGAGGUAGACGGUACUCGGUAGGAAGGGGUAAAAUCCUUUGAUCUAUUGAUGACCACCUGUGGCGAAGGCGGUCUACCAGAACACGUUCGACGGUGAGGGAUGAAAGCUGGGGGAGCAAACCGGAUUAGAUACCCGGGUAGUCCCAGCUGUAAACUAUGCAAACUCAGUGAUGCAUUGGCUUGUGGCCAAUGCAGUGCUGCAGGGAAGCCGUUAAGUUUGCCGCCUGGGAAGUACGUACGCAAGUAUGAAACUUAAAGGAAUUGGCGGGGGAGCACCACAAGGGGUGAAGCCUGCGGU